CACACUAUCAUUAACUGAAUCCAUAGGUUAAUGAGGCGAACCGGGGGAACUGAAACAUCUAAGUACCCCGAGGAAAAGAAAUCAACCGAGAUUCCCCCAGUAGCGGCGAGCGAACGGGGAGCAGCCCAGAGCCUGAAUCAGUGUGUGUGUUAGUGGAAGCGUCUGGAAAGGCGCGCGAUACAGGGUGACAGCCCCGUACACAAAAAUGCACAUGCUGUGAGCUCGAUGAGUAGGGCGGGACACGUGGUAUCCUGUCUGAAUAUGGGGGGACCAUCCUCCAAGGCUAAAUACUCCUGACUGACCGAUAGUGAACCAGUACCGUGAGGGAAAGGCGAAAAGAACCCCGGCGAGGGGAGUGAAAAAGAACCUGAAACCGUGUACGUACAAGCAGUGGGAGCACGCUUAGGCGUGUGACUGCGUACCUUUUGUAUAAUGGGUCAGCGACUUAUAUUCUGUAGCAAGGUUAACCGAAUAGGGGAGCCGAAGGGAAACCGAGUCUUAACUGGGCGUUAAGUUGCAGGGUAUAGACCCGAAACCCGGUGAUCUAGCCAUGGGCAGGUUGAAGGUUGGGUAACACUAACUGGAGGACCGAACCGACUAAUGUUGAAAAAUUAGCGGAUGACUUGUGGCUGGGGGUGAAAGGCCAAUCAAACCGGGAGAUAGCUGGUUCUCCCCGAAAGCUAUUUAGGUAGCGCCUCGUGAAUUCAUCUCCGGGGGUAGAGCACUGUUUCGGCAAGGGGGUCAUCCCGACUUACCAACCCGAUGCAAACUGCGAAUACCGGAGAAUGUUAUCACGGGAGACACACGGCGGGUGCUAACGUCCGUCGUGAAGAGGGAAACAACCCAGACCGCCAGCUAAGGUCCCAAAGUCAUGGUUAAGUGGGAAACGAUGUGGGAAGGCCCAGACAGCCAGGAUGUUGGCUUAGAAGCAGCCAUCAUUUAAAGAAAGCGUAAUAGCUCACUGGUCGAGUCGGCCUGCGCGGAAGAUGUAACGGGGCUAAACCAUGCACCGAAGCUGCGGCAGCGAC
rnacentral:rRNA from 1 species